rnacentral:lncRNA from 1 species
CUCUUUUUCAGGGCGUGCCAGACAGCGUGCGGAUGGCUGCCAGCAAUGUCCUGGUGGCUCUGGCCCGGACACACUUCACCUUGGUGAUGGCCGAGCUCCAGGGCCACCUGAAGGCUGCGGGGGAGAUGUCCAAGGAGUUUGUGCUCGUCACCCUGAGCAAGCUGUUCACCAGCUACGGUAGAGUGCCCUCAGCCUCCUGACGUCUAUGACAGCCGGAGAAAGGGCUCUCUCCCCUCUGCGCAUCAUCUGCGUUGAGCUGGGGGAUGCAGGGCUGCAGCCCCUCCUCCCUCGCCUCGCUGCUGGGGCUCUGACCAUGGCGCUCUCCUUCCCCUCUGCAGCUCCACAGUGCAUCUCCUUCAUGUGGCUGAUGCUGGCCGGCCUGCGCAGUGUGGUGGGCUGGGUGAGAGGCGGCCGGACCCUGCGCAUUGCUUGUGCUGUUGUGAAACAAUGGCUGGAAGGAGUCAAGGUUCACUUGGGCUCUGGAAAGCAAUGCCCCUGGCCUGCCAUAGAGAUCGAGAAGAUCUACAAGAAUCUUUCCCAGCUCUUCUGCUCUGUGCUGAGGAACUGGCAGGACUGCCAGGAGGAAGAGGACAAACAGGCUGUCCUCGGGGCUGUGGCUACCAUGAUGGCUGUCCUCCUGCAAGAGGAGCUGCCCCGAGAGCACGUUUGGGAGCAGCUCCUCUGGCUCGUGCGCCUGUAUCAGGAGGUCCAAGACACCUGCAGGGGGACCAAGAGCCUCACUAUCUUCCUGGAGGCCUUAGAGGGAUUUCAAUCGGUCAUCCCUAAGGACAAGUUUCUGGCCAUCACCAGUGCUGUGUUCUACCAGCUCUCUGAUGACACCAAGGAGCACAGCGAGGC